rnacentral:rRNA from 1 species
UACGUAGGGGGCAAGCGUUGUCCGGAUUUAUUGGGCGUAAAGAGCGUGUAGGCGGCUUGGUAGGUCCGCUGUGAAAACUCGAGGCUCAACCUCGAGAUGUCGGCGGAAACCACUUGGCUAGAGUCCGGAAGAGGAGAGUGGAAUUCCCGGUGUAGCGGUGAAAUGCGCAGAUAUCGGGAAGAACACCUAUGGCGAAGGCAGCUCUCUGGGACGGUACUGACGCUGAGACGCGAAAGCUAGGGUAGCAAACGGG